UGGGGAAUAUUGCACAAUGGGGGAAACCCUGAUGCAGCAACGCCGCGUGAGUGAUGACGGCCUUCGGGUUGUAAAGCUCUGUCUUCAGGGACGAUAAUGACGGUACCUGAGGAGGAAGCCACGGCUAACUACGUGCUAGCAGCCGCGGUAAUACGUAGGUGGCAAGCGUUGUCCGGAUUUACUGGGCGUAAAGGGAGCGUAGGCGGACUUUUAAGUGAGAUGUGAAAUACCCGGGCUCAACCUGGGUGCUGCAUUUCAAACUGGAAGUCUAGAGUGCAGGAGAGNGGAGUGGAAUUCCUAGUGUAGCGGUGAAAUGCGUAGAGAUUAGGAAGAACACCAGUGGCGAAGGCGACUCUCUGGACUGUAACUGACGCUGAGGCUCGAAAGCGUGGGGAGCAAACA
rnacentral:rRNA from 1 species